rnacentral:antisense_RNA from 1 species
CCAAGUGUUUUGUUUGUUUCCCUUGGAUAAAAGUGACUCCGAUUUUUAAUGGCUCCUCUCAAAGAUUAAGAUCUCUUCACUAAAUACAGAAAAAUUCCAUAUGUAACGAAUUCCCAGCCUCCCUGAAAACAAAAUGGAAUCUUUCAUGCUGUCUCAACAUAUGAAUAAAUUGCUCUGUCACCUGGGUGUUCUUGCCGAUGUAAAUCUGAAAGAAGCUGGGCACAGGCAGUGGUGUGUGGGUGCCUACAGUCCUGAGGAGCUGGGACUGUUUUCCCGAACAAUGCCUUUCCACCAUACACGGUGGCUGUGAGGGCCAGCUGAGGCAAAGCCCUCAGGAAGACCACUCAAGCCCAGGAGUCCAGCCUGCGCAAGACACUCUUUUUUUAGGCUUCUGCCACCACAAAAUGUUACUUGGAAAACUAGAUCCCAGCAGAUGACCUGUACUUCUCUGUUCUCUCCCCUACUGCAAAGAGGCAGCGAGGGCAGCAUUAGUAAGCCUGACUCAGGGGAAGUAAGUAGCCUGCAGAGAAAGGGUCCUAGGUCCGCAACCGAGGCGAGUGAACUUGUCGGACAGAUGAAGACUCUAACUGGAAGAAACGAUCAGCGCAUUCAUGGAUGCACCACCAUCCAGAAAUCUCCCAGUGGCUUCCAUACAAAAACUGAUGUUUCUAAAGAUGGAAAGAACAGGUCUAGGAGGCAGGAGAGUAUCUCCUGGCAGUGUUCUGUAGCUCAAAGAGCAGUCAGGAGCACGUCUUUGAAUUCCUCGCAGACGAUGUAUCCAUCAGUCCUGUGGGGACACAACGUGAUGUCAACCCUCAAGCCUGCUGCCUGCUCUGCCUCUCCUCCCUCCCGUUUGCGGAAGACAGUGGGCCACAUCUGAGCACCAGGGGUCCUGAAGGAUGUCCCGGGUCAGCCAGUGUCCCACACCCUCUGUGCAGAAGGGAGG